rnacentral:rRNA from 1 species
UAGGUGCAGCGUCACAUGUUGCGUGUUGGAGGUAGAGCUACUGGAUGGCCGAUGGGCCCUACAAGGUUACUGACGUCAGCCAAACUCCGAAUGCCGAUACGUGUAAGUGUGGCAGUGAGACGGCGGGGGAUAAGCUCCGUGCGUCGAGAGGGAAACAGCCCAGAUCGCCGGCUAAGGCCCCUAAGAGUGUGCUAAGUGGAAAAGGAUGUGCAGUCGCGAAGACAACCAGGAGGUUGGCUUAGAAGCAGCCACCCUUGAAAGAGUGCGUAAUAGCUCACUGGUCAAGUGAUUGUGCGCCGAUAAUGUAGCGGGGCUCAAGCACACCGCCGAAGCCGCGGCAAUACCGCAAGGUAUUGGGUAGGGGAGCGUCCUGCAUCCGGUGAAGCAGCCGUGUGAACGAGUUGUGGAGGGUGUGGGAGUGAGAAUGCAGGCAUGAGUAGCGAUAAGGCAAGUGAGAACCUUGCCCGCCGAAAGACAAAGGGUUCCUGGGGCAGGCCAGUCCGCCCAGGGUGAGUCGGGACCUAAGGCGAGGCCGACAGGCGUAGUCGAUGGACAACGGGUUGAUAUUCCCGUACCCGUGUGUGAGCGUCCCUGAUGAAUCAUCGGUACUAACCAUCCAAAACCACCGUGACCAAUCCCUUCGGGGUGCGGCGUUGGUGGGGCUGCGUGGGAACUUCGGUGGUAGUAGUCAAGCGAUGGGGUGACGCAGGAAGGUAGCCGUACCAGUCAGUGGUUGUACUGGGGUAAGCCUGUAGGACGACAUCUAGGCAAAUCCGGAUGUCAUAUGUCUGAGAGGUGAUGCAUAGCCGUUUGAGGCGAAUUCGGUGAUCCUAUGCUGCCAAGAAAAACCUCUAGCGAGCCAACACACGGUCCGUACCCCAAACCAACACAGGUGGUCAGGUAGAGAAUACUAAGGCGUACGAGUGAACUAUGGUUAAGGAACUCGGCAAAAUACCCCCGUAACUUCGGGAGAAGGGGGACCCACAUACCGUCAACACCCUUGCGGUGGGCAGCGGUCGUGGGUGGCACAAACCAGUGAGAAGCGACUGUUUACUAAAAACACAGGUCCGUGCGAAGUCGCAAGACGAUGUAUACGGACUGACGCCUGCCCGGUGCUGGAAGGUUAAGAGGACCGGUUAACCCUUCGGGGUGAAGCUGAGAAUUUAAGCCCCAGUAAACGGCGGUGGUAACUAUAACCAUCCUAAGGUAGCGAAAUUCCUUGUCGGGUAAGUUCCGACCUGCACGAAUGGCGUAACGACUUCUCAACUGUCUCAACCAUAGACUCGGCGAAAUUGCACUACGAGUAAAGAUGCUCGUUACGCGCGGCAGGACGAAAAGACCCCGGGACCUUCACUACAACUUGGUAUUGAUG